rnacentral:sRNA from 1 species
GACUAUUCUCCACUAGCCUGGCCUGACGGAUACAGGCAUGCAAUUAGCCUGAGUCAGGCGACCGUAGGCUCCAGGCGCAACAAAUGCGUGCUUACCAUCAAAAUCUCAACUGUACAUAGCCAUUAGCCCAUCACCGUGCGGAGCUCCUGCCGCCAUCGCACGAGGCUGCCCCUGCCGCCACUGCGUGAAGCCCGUCGCGCGAAGCCUCCACCGCCGGCAAGCGAAGCCCCUGCCGUGGUCGUCGUCGAGCGAAGUCCCCGCCUUGGUUGAGUUUGUGUGAAGCUUCGCGCGAUCCCCUUUGCCAGAUCCAGCUUAGAGUGAAGCUUCCGCUGAUGCCUGAUGCUGCUGAUUUUUGCGGAUCAUUGUUGUGACUUUGUUGUUUGUAUGCGUGCAAUUUGCUGGAUGUUUGGAUUUGGGGAUUUUUCUUUUUUGGGGGGAAAGAAGCGAUUUGGAGAUUAUUUUCCUCGUAUAGGUGAUUGAUUUAUUAAUGGAAAGCUAGGUA